GAGAAGAGAAAGGAGUUCAGUUCAUCCCUCCCUGGCAGUUUAGGUCUAUAGCAGCAUAACUAGGGCCUGAUCCAAGACGAGCCUGCACUGACCCUAACUAAAAGCUUUAUCAAAAAAGAAAGUUUUUAGCCUCUUUCUCCUCUUUCUCCUCAGCCUGGAUUCCAUGUGGCGUCCGUGAACCGUGAGUUCAAACUUAAACACACCAACUGCACAAAGGGAGUAACAGAUACAGAGUAUUGCCAGGUCGUGAACGAUAAACCGGUUCAAAACUGUCUUGUCUGCUACAAAACAUUUUAUAAUACCAUUGCCGAAGACCCUGCACCGUACGUUCACUGCAUGGAGCACGAGGCCCUUACACGGGAGUUGGAGGACAUCAGGUAUCAGGAAUGUGCGAAGGUGAAGGACACAGAUUUUGCCCCAUCUCCAACUCCACCUUCAAAUCCCA